AUCUUAUAGGAUCGGCCCAUUUUGCAGCUAUGGCCUCUGAUAUCUUCCUCUUCUGAGAUUGGUACUUGAAGAGAGCUGAUGGGUCAGCGAUGGUUGGAGGUUCAAUGAAGCUUUUCAUGAUCAAAACUGGUUUAUCAAUGAUGCACUAUUGGCGUAUUGUGCUCAAGUUUGGACCAUCAAUUUCUCACGAAUUGGAUGCUACUAAGAUCACCAAACGAAGCAGAAUGAGAUUUCCAGAUUCCACACAAUCACCAAAUCAGUUCGUAUCACCGAUGUACUCCGGCGGCGACGCUGCCACAUACUGACCGCCAUUCUGGGCCGGCUCCGACCAGCACCAAAUGUAGCAGCAUCCCGACAAUCUUGGUUAAAUGUUCAGUUAGUGUAUCACAUCUUAUGCUUUGAUCUACGGAUGAUCAUUUAAUACAUAUUAUUGUUUUUUUAUUUUAUUGUAGUUUUAGGUGAGGCGGACGGCUUUAAAAUGACAAACGACUUAUUUUACCUAUGAGUUCUGUUGAAGAGUUGAUUUUAAUUUUAA